UAGCCUUGUUCCCUUGUUAUGGAACAGCAAAAUAGUAGCAACUCUUUGAAGUCUAGGGUUCUUAUUUUAUGUGUUCCAAAUUUCACUUUUUGCAGUACGAGACUUAGACUUCAAGGUUCAGAUAACAACAACGAGAACGUCUUAGUCCUAAAUAAGUUGGGUUCUCUAAAUAUUCAGCAAACCCUUUUCGGGCUUGGGGCUUUUGGAGGGGAGGAGAAUGUCCAGGAAUUCAACAGGAAAGCCUCAAGAAUGUUGCUAAACCUACUAGGUCUUUUGGCAACAUGAACUGGCCUGAGGAGGUAAACAUCUAAAGUUUUUGUUAUUUUUUCUUUGUAAUUUUGUAAAUAGCCUCGCAGUUUUUCUAUUACUAGCUUUAGUGUAUUAUUGUGUAAUAUUGAUGUCAGUAUAUAAAUAUAAAAUAAUAUGACUACGUUAGUGUUUAGAUAUUUUCUCAAACAUAAAUCCUCUUUUAACUCAAAGUAUUAACCAACAUUAUCUUUUAUCCUAAAAAAUUAAAUUGGAUGGUGAAAAGAAAAAGACUUUAGUGGAAAAUAAUUC